AGGUUGAACAUAAGGUAUACAAGAAAUAUACAGUACAACGCCACCAUGAAAACUGUAUGGAAUGAAGACAACAUAAGAUACAACAUUAUGAUUGAUUAGUUGCAUUACAUACAAAGGCUUAGGGAAAUAAGCACAAUACUCAAGCAGUAUACCAAAUCAUUUGUAUACCUCCAAAAUGGAAGAUGAGGCCACUUUUGGACCACCAUUUUAUAUGAAAUAAGCAUUGGAGGUAAAAAAAAACAACAACUAGGGAGACCACUCUUGGAUCUCAACUGAACCUCAAUUUUCUAUUUUUACAACAGUUUGGAUAAAGCGAAAACAAUUCUAGAGUGCUGGUAAAUAAACAGAUUUGGAUUGUUUUUUUAUGAAGACUAGAUUAUAUGACGUUAAAUAUGGGGAAAAUGAGAAAUCUUUACAAUCAGAUGGGUUUACCAGUGGAGCCUAGGGUGUAUAAUCCUGGAUGGAGACAUACCAUGAAUGCCAGUUAAUCAACAUAGAAGCUACGUUGAGUUGUAGGGGAAAACAUAAGGUACAAGGAAUAUAGGAUGCUGUUCCUAAGGAAUUAGGUAGUAGAUAGGGAAGCAUGGAGGGCAUACACUCAUAUGUAGCGUUCUAUACACAAUCAGAACUAAUGUUGCAGCUAAUGAGGAGAUAAGAUGGGAGAAUGACUGACGGAGAUAAAGAUGGGAGAUAAUAUACCUUAUGAGUUAUCCUAUUUGUGAGCCAAUGGUGUGGGUUCUUAAAAGGUGUUAUUAUUAGAGCCAUUAGUACCUAUAAAGGGGACAUGAGACAACUGCGCACCUCCAGACAUACACAGGGCCCCGCCAUCCCGGCCGCAGACAGCGCGACCCAGUGCAUGCCAAUGGGAAAUAAAGACUAGAAAUACUGAUAUGUGUCUCAGAGGAUCAGAGUACAAGAUAACAUUGGUCAAUUUGUUGCUACUAGGUGAGGAAAAUUGAGAAUAUUCGUCCUGCAAAUAUACAUUAGGAGAGGAUUAAACAGCGAUAAUUAGUUGUGUUAGCAAGGUAAUCUAAAUUCGCAGCUGCAACACUGGUACAACAUUUAACCCGCAAUAAACAUGGUAGACAAACAUUGACCUCAAAACAUGGAAAAUGUGGCUAGUAGUCAUAUAACACAAACAGUAUAAGCAUGUAUUUAUAUGCAAUCCCCGCAACUAGUGAUAUGUAGGCCCCCAAGCAUUUACCUAAAUGAAAACUGUCUAUAGGAAGCUGGACUGACAAUGUUAGAUGAAUUAUAAUUAGUUAGGGCAGUAACAAGAACAGUAAGAUAAAGAUCAUGGCCAGAAAAAUAUGUCUGGUAAGAACAGUGAAAUUGAGCAAAACCCUGCAGUCCUGAGUGCUAAAAAUUUGAACAAUGUUCCUCAGAGGAGUCCAUGCUGGCUUACAAGAGUCAAUUUAACAGAUGAUGAGGGUAUAAGAGGUAUGCUCAACACCGUUAUCCAUGUAAUUAUUAAUAACUAGCCUACCCCUAUUUUAAUACAUACAAACCUAGGACAUUGCCCAUAACUCUGGGAUAGACUAUCUGCUAAGCUGUGCAAGGCGAUAUCAAAGGUGUGAGCUAUCUCUAGCAGAUGCCAUACUCUUUGCAGCGCCUGCUGCGUGCUUUGUGAGCCUUGAGUAGCUGCCGUUGGGAUACUGUAUAAAGGCCCUAGCUUCGUCCAGGCCAAACUGUUCAGCAGCAUCAUGCGCACACCUCGAGGGGCACUAGGAGAUUGGAUAGGAGCAAAGAGAUUAGUCUCAACCGGCUUGUCAAGGUUCCUCAUAUCAAGCGGCACCAACUCUCUCCUCUGUAUAGCCGCGACCAUGGGAGGUAAGUCGCUCUGCGGCAUUAGUGAAAGGCUGCAGUCCAUAGUAGGCUCCAAAUUAGACACCACCGCCCUCGCAGCUUCAGUGUUGCUCAUCUGGAUUAAGUCACUGUCGCUCCUCCAAGCCGCAUCCACUGCUCUCUCAAGUCUGACAAAGUGGUCAUCCAGGAUCUCGGUAAUUAGCGUAAGCAAGUAUGCUCCCCCAGACUCCAUCUGGUACAGUAACAGGUAAAUCUCUGUUGGGUGAAUUAUAACAGUGCCUGGCAAGAGAACACUGUCGCUUAACGACAAGCCCACAAAGGGUACUUGCCGGGGGGUCAGAAAAAAUGUAGACAGUCUUCAGUAUAGAAUGGAAGCCCGACUAGAUGGUAAAAGUUUUGCAGCCACGAGGAUGUGAAAAAUGGCCUCCGCUUCUGUGUGCUCAAGGUAGAGCUCCAGUCCUGGGUCCAGGGAAUAACACCAAGGGUUAAAUUUGGCUGUCGCUCACUAGUAGACAAAAGUUCAAGGUAUGCGUGAGAGGUUUCACAGGAUCCAAUUCUUAAGAAUAUGAAGGAUAGAGCUGUUUAUAGCAUAAUCAGGACCGGAGCAGUGAGAUUGUGCGGCCAUUCUCGGGCGCUUCAGGCUCCGCCCCCCAUUUUAUUAGCUUUUUCACAAGACUGCUAAGUCAUGUGUGUCAUAUAGAUAACAUUGUGCUCUCUCCCGUGGAGUUGUGCAGGACACAGCACUAACGGGCUUAAAAUGCAAGUCAAUAGAUAAUAAAUAAAUAAAUAGCCCUGAGAUAAGGGGACUGUCUGUAGAGGCUUAAAUACAAGAUAUUAGAUACUAUUCUUAUCGUCAUUGUGUAACCGGCUAAUUUAAUCGUAAAUUUAAGUUACCUCUAUAGGUUCAUAUAUGUGCUUCUCAGGCGUAUCAUAGCUACUGCCUCAAUAGCCUCUGAGCUCACCGCACGUCACUGCUAUAGACAUAUGAGGUACACGUAAUAGAUUUAUGUCUGUAAGUUUGUCUGAUCACUCCAGACAUACAAGGUACACGUGAUAUAGAUUUAUGUCUGUAAAUUUGUCUGAUCACUACAGACAUGCAAGGUACAUGUGGUAGAUUUAUGUCUGUAAGUUUGUCUGAUCACUACAUACAUACGAGGUACAUGUGGUCGAUUCAUGUCUGUAAGUUUAUCUGAUCACUACAGACAUAUGAGGUAAACGUGAUAGAUUUAUGUCUGUAAGUUUGUCUGAUCACUACAUACAUAUGAGGUACACGUGAUAUAGAUUUAUGCCUGUAAGUUUGUCUGAUCACUACAGACAUACGAGGUACACGUGGUAGAUAAAUGGCUGUAAGUUUGUCUGAUCACUACAGACAUACGAGGUACACGUGAUAGAUUUAUGUUUGUAAGUUUGUCUCAUCACUACAGAAUACGAGGCACACGUGAUAUAGAUUUGUCUGUAAGUUUGUCUGAUCACUACAUACAUACCAGGCACACGUGAUAUAGAUUUGUCUGUAAGUUUGUCUGAUCACUACAUACAUACGAGGCACACGUGAUAUUGAUUUGUCUGUAAGUUUGUCUGAUCACUACAGACAUAUGAGGUACACAUGAUAUAGAUUUAUGUCUGUAAGUUUGUCUAAGCACUACAUACAUACGAGGCACACGUGAUAUAGAUUUAUGUCUGUAAGUUUGUCUGAUCACUACAGACAUACGAGGUACACGUGAUAUAGAUUUAUGUCUGUAAGUUUGUCUGAUCACUACAGACAUAUGAGGUACACAUGAUAUAGAUUUAUGUCUGUAAGUUUGUCUGAUCACUACAUACAUACGAGGUACACAUGAUAUAGAUUUAUGUCUAAGUUUGUCUGAUCACUACAUACAUACGAGGUACACGUGAUAUAGAUUUAUGUCUGUAAGUUUGUCUGAUCACUACAUACAUACGAGGUACAUGUGAUAUAGAUUUAUGUCUAAGUUUGUCUGAUCACUACAUACAUACAAGGCACAUGUGUAGCAGAGAGGCAGCAGGAUCUGCAAUAUAUCCUGGGCAGGCAGAGACAAGCAAGCAACAACUCUUGGCACUCUUGGCAAUUGUAGCAGAGAGGCAGUAGGAUCUGUAAUAUCUUUUUGGUAAGCAGAGACAAGCAAAUAACUACUCUUGGUAAUUGUAGCAGAGAGGCAGUAGGAUCUGUAAUAUAUUUUGGGUAAGCAGAGACAAGCAAAUCACUACUCUUGGUAAUUGUAGCAGAGAGGUAGCAGGAUCUGCAAUAUCUUUUGGGUAAGCAGAGACAAGCAAGCAACUACUCCUGGUAAUUGUAAUAAUAACCCCUUUCCACCAAGAACUAGACGAUACAUAGCUUGGGAGUCAACAACAACUUUUUUCUUCAACAGAAAAAACAAACAAAACUUUUUAAAAACAGUCUCCCCUACAAGGGGCUUCCCAACUGAAACAGCAGGGAGUUUAAACAGUAACAUACAGUUUAACAUACAUUUUAACCAUUAGCCUAAAUAACAAUUCCUGCAUAGUUCAUAAGUAGCGAGGUUUGCCACAAUGCUCCCCCAGAACCAAACCGGCAUACCAAGUCUGAUCCCAACGGAUUGGCUUGGGGAGGUCCGGAGGAGUUUUCACAGAUCAAGGUUCAAGUUCAGUUUGUCUGGACAACCCGUCGGCGUUGCCGUUUUGCUUCCCAGGUCGGUAAUGGAUUGUUAAGUCAAACGGCUGCAGCGCCAAACUCCAGCGCAACAGCCGGGCAUUGUCUCCGGAUACCCUGUUCAGCCACACCAACGGGUUGUAAUCUGUGAGCAGGGAAAAUUGUUGUCCAUAUAGAUAUGGCUGAAGUUUCUUGAGGGCCCACACCACGGCUAGGCAUUCCUUUUCGAUGGCGGCGUAGCUAACUUCUCGGGGUAACAGUUUCCUGCUUAGGUAGGCCACAGGAUGCUCGCUGCCAUCAGCCCCAACUUGGCUCAGCACGGCUCCCAAUCCAAACAUAGAAGCGUCUGUAUGGACGAGAAAGCGUUUAGUUGGAUCCGGGGCAGCAAGGAUAGGGGCAUUUACGAGAGCGUUUUUCAGUUCUUGGAAUGCUUGUUCACACUCUGGGCUCCAGGUAACAAUCUUAGGAAGGUUUUUACUGGUGAGGUCGGUGAGGGGUUUGGCUAGGGUACUAUAAUUAGGUACAAACUUCCUAUAAUAGCCUGCGGUACCUAGAAAGGCUAGCACUUGGGUCUUGGUACGGGGAGUGGGCCACUUGGCUAUGGCCUCUACCUUGGCCGGUUCGGGCUUCUGCUGCCCGCUACCUACUCGGUGCCCUAGGUACUGGACCUCCGCCAUCCUUAUAUGACAUUUGCUAGGCUUAAGGGUUAAUCCUGCCUCCCUAAUGCGAUCUAGGAUCGCCCCUAUAUGGUUCAAAUGCUUGUCCCAGGAGCUGCUAAAUAUAGCUAUGUCGUCUAAAUAGGCGCAUGCGUACUCUUGGGACCCAUCCAGUAGCCGAUCUACCAUUCGCUGGAAAGUAGCCGGAGCGUUCUUCAUCCCGAAUGGCAUGACCUUGAAUUGGUACAGGCCAAACGGGGUGACGAACGCUGAUUUGCGGAUGGCAUCCUCGGCUAGUGGGAUCUGCCAGUACCCCUUACACAGAUCUAUGGUGGUGAGGUACUGGCCUCGAGCCAUUUUAUCUAGGAGCUCAUCUAUCCGGGGCAUAGGGUAGGCGUCAGAGACGGUUUUAUCAUUAAGUUUCCGGUAGUCUACGCAGAAGCGGGUCGUGCCGUCCCGCUUCGGCACUAGAACUACCGGCGAGGCCCAGGGGCUGUCCGAGUGCUCAGUCACUCCUAACUGUAGCAUCUCGUCAAUCUCCUUCCGCAUAUGUUCUCUUACCGAUUCUGGUAUGCGGUAAGGAGGUUGACGCAUGGGGAGGUGACCUGGGGUUUCUACCCUAUGGGUGGCCAGUCGGGUAUAUCCAGGCACGUUGGAGAACGUCUCUCUCUUUUCCUGCAGUAGCUCUGCUAUUUGAGCUCGUUCCCGAGGACUUAACCGCUCACCCAAUUGUACCUCUCCCAGACCUUCGUUCCGGUUCUUCAUUCCUAGGAGGUCGGGAAGAGGUAAACUGUCUGCGUCGUCCGCCGCAGGGGCGCAAAUAGCAUUCACCUCCUCUGCGCGUUCAUGGUACGGCUUCAACAUAUUUACAUGGAGCAUGCGUCUACCACCUGCUCCAGUACAUGGGCCGAUCACAUAGGUGGUGUCACAGAUUUGUUCCACUACCUUGUAUGGGCCCUGCCAGGAGGCCUGCAGUUUAUCAUUUUUGACCGGUUUUAAGAUUAGCACCUUCUGCCCAGUCUGAAAACUGCGGUCCCUGGCGCCCCUAUCAUACCAACGGCGCUGACGGGUUUGAGCCGGCUGAAGGUUGGAGCGGACGGUCCGAGUCAGGGCCUCCAGGCGCUCCCUAAACUCCAGCACGUAUGGUACGAUAGGAGUACCGUCACUAGUGACUUCCCCCUCCCAAUGCUCUCGGAUUAAGUCUAGGGGACCCCGUACCCUCCUUCCGAAUAAUAAUUCAAAGGGAGAGAACCCUGUGGACUCCUGAGGUACCUCCCGGUAGGCGAAAAGCAAAUGGGGUAGAAACCGCUCCCAGUUCUUCUGGGUAUCCAUGAACGUGCGGAGCAUCUGUUUUAGUGUUCCAUUAAACCGUUCACAGAGCCCAUUAGACUGGGGGUGAUAAGCGGAAUUUACAAUGGGUUUCACCCCACAUGCUCUCCACAACUGGUGGGUAAUCUCUGCCGUGAACUGGGUGCCCCGGUCCGAAAUAAUCUCCCGGGGAAAUCCCAUGCGGGAGAAGAUUCUGAUGAGGGCAUCCGCCACGGUCUCGGCAUGAAUAUUAGCCAGAGCCACUGCCUCGGGAUAUCGGGUGGCAUAAUCCACGACCGUGAGUAUAUACCUCUUCCCCGAGGGGCUUGGCUUGGCUAGGGGGCCAAUGAGGUCCACCGCCACUCGACUAAAAGGCUCCUCUAUUAUGGGGAGGGAGUGUAGCUUUGCCUUAUAUCGGUCUCUUCUUUUCCCUACUCGUUGGCAGGUGUCACACGUCUGGCAAUACUGCCUAAUAUCUUUGGUGAUCCCUGUUAGGUGGUGCUUCGUCCGACUAACUCCUAGGUGGCCUGACAGCGGAAUAUCGUGGGCAACCCGUAGCAGUUCUCGUCUAUACCUCUGAGGUACUAUUAACUGCUGAACGGACAGGGGAAUAGAUCCAGCCACUAUCUUCUCUGCAUACCUGUACAGUAACCCCUUGUCCCAACCGUACCUCUCUCCUUCCAACCCCGCCUGAUUCUGGUCUACCUUAUCCCUAUAUACUUGCAACGAGGGUCAGUGGCCACUUCGCUACCAAACUCUAGUGGAGGGGCCCAAGAGACAUUAGGGGGGUGAUUGCUUACCUGAGCCUCAGAGUGAUCAGCCAGUGCGUUGGUGCGGGCCUGUUGUCGGGUAACCAUGGGCAGUGCUGCUUGUGGGGAGGUUCGGGGUGCAAACGCUGAAGUCAGCUCCCCUAAGUCGUUGCCCAAAAUAACGUCUGCGGGCAAAUUUUGCCUAAGGCCCACUUCUACGUUCCCCGACCCUGCUCCCCAAUCCAAAUGUACUUUGGCCGUGGGAAUCUUGUAAAUGGCUCCCCCGGCCACCCGGUCAGCUACACAGUCUCCGGUGAGUUGAUUGGUGGAAACUAAAUGUUGCCGGAGCAAGGUUAUGGUGGCCCCAGAGUCACGCAGCCCUUGGACACGUCGGCCCUCUAUAUAGACCACCUGGCGGUGGCUUUGUAGGUUGUCCGAAGCGGCCUGUACUGGGUUUACCUCGUGUAAGAUGCCCAAGGGUUCCUCGUGUAAGACUGCGGGUUGGGUCUGUAGUCGGGGCUCGUUCUGGUAGCAGUGUACAGCUGCCCGGUUGUUUGACAAGUUGUUCUGGUUGUUCCAGGUGGAUCGGUUCUUGUUCCUGGGACAGUCUCUCUGAAUGUGCCCUUGUUGGUUACAAAGAUGGCAACGGAUAGCUGAUCGAGUCUGGUAUCUGGGACGGGGGGUAGAUUCCCACUCCAGGAUGGGGUAGCAAUGGUGUGGGAGCUGCAGUGGGGGUUGGGGUGACCCCAAUACUGGAGCGUUGCUGUGUUCGUUGAGCUCUCCGAGCGUCUUGGUAUUCGUCGGCCAAGGUCGCUGCGGUAUGUACCGUGCACGGUUUUCAAUCUCUCAGCCAGUUUUGCAAUUCAGUGGACACCCCUUGGAAGAAUUGCUCCAUCAACAGGAGUUGUAAAAGGUCUUCCAACUGGGUGACUUGGGCUGCCUGCAACCAGCCUUUAGCGGCCCUGGUUAGCCGAUGCGCCCACUCAGUGUGGGUAUCUUUCUCCAGCUUCUUCAGGUCUCGGAAACCGCUGUCGGUAUGCCUCCGAGGUAAUAGCCUACCUAGUCAGGAUGGCCUGUUUUACCUUCUGGUAGUCCCUGCUGUCCUCAUCUGGUAUGGUGCGGUAGGCUUCAGUGGCCCGCCCGGAUAACUUGCCAGCCAGUAGGGGAACUUGGUCAGCGGUACUAAUAUUAUGCAGUUGGCAUAAUCGCUCAAAGUCCUGUAGGUACCCAUCGAUAUCCUCCGUGUCGGUAUGAUCCUUGAAUGCGUGGUAGGGAAUCUUAGCUUUCCCUGUACCAGCACUGGAGUGUACUGGUAGCCCCUCUCCGGGUCUCGGGGUGGUUUGUUGGGUCACCAUCAAGUACUCCUGUACGUCUUCUGAUGUCCGUGUCAGGAGCUCCUCCGAAUGGGGUAGCGGAAAAAAAGCCAACCGGGUCCGCAUCUCUUUUUGGAAUUCAGUUUCAUUGUUCGCCAUGGGUACGGCCGUACCUGCUACCCGGUCUCCCUCCAUGAGCUCUGCAAUCAGCCUUGCUUUGGUUUUAUUGCUGCCAAUAAUUCCUCUCGCCUCCAGUAAUUCCUUCAAUGCAGUUCUCUUUAGUCUGGUAUAAUCUGUCCCCAUUCGCUGUCUGUUCAUAUACAUCACAUGUCCUACGACUUGCUGUGCGGUUUGAAUCCCAUCGCUUGCCACCAAUUGUAGCAGAGAGGCAGCAGGAUCUGCAAUAUAUCCUGGGCAGGCAGAGACAAGCAAGCAACCACUCUUGGCACUCUUGGCAAUUGUAGCAGAGAGGCAGUAGGAUCUAAACAGUAGCAUACAGUUUAACAUACAUUUUAACCAUUAGCCUAAAUAACAAUUCCUGCAUAGUAAAUAAGUAGCGAGGUUUGCCACAAAGACAUACAAGUCACAUGUGAUAUAGAUUUAUGUCUGUAAGUUUGUCUGAUCACUACAUACAUACGAGGUACAGGUGAUAUAGAUUUAUGUCUGUAAGUUUGUCUGAUCACUACAUACAUACGAGGUACAGGUGAUAUAGAUUUAUAUCUGUAAGUUUGUCUGAUCACUACAUACAUACGAGGUACAGGUGAUAUAGAUUUAUAUCUGUAAGUUUGUCUGAUCACUACAUACAUACGAGGUACACGUGAUAUCGAUUUAUAUCUGUAAGUUUGUCUGAUCACUACAUACAUACGAGGUACACGUGAGAUUUAUGUCUGUAAGUUUGUCUGAUCACUACAUACAUACGAGGUACAGGUGAUAUAGAUUUAUUUCUGUAAGUUUGUCUGAUCACUACAUACAUACGAGGUACAGGUGAUAUAGAUUUAUUUCUGUAAGUUUGUCUGAUCACUACAUACAUACGAGGUACAGGUGAUAUAGAUUUAUGACUGUAAGUUUGUCUGAUCACUACAUACAUACGAGGUACAGGUGAUAUAGAUUUAUAUCUGUAAGUUUGUCUGAUCACUACAUACAUACGAGGUACACGUGAUAUAGAUUUAUAUCUGUAAGUUUGUCUGAUCACUACAUACAUACGAGGUACACGUGAGAUUUAUUUCUGUAAGUUUGUCUGAUCACUACAUACAUACGAGGUACACGUGAUAUAGAUUUAGGUCUGUAAGUUUGUCUGAUCACUACAGACAUACGAGGCACAUGUGAUAUAGAUUUAUUUCUGUAAGUUUGUCUGAUCACUACAUACAUAUGAGGUACACGUGAUAUAGAUUUAUGUCUGUAAGUUUGUCUGAUCACUACAUACAUACGAGGUACACGUGAUAUAGAUUUAUGUCUGUAAGUUUGUCUGAUCACUACAUACAUAUGAGGUACACGUGAUAUAGAUUUAUGUCUGUAAGUUUGUCUGAUCACUACAUACAUACGAGGUACACGUGAUAUAGAUUUAUAUCUGUAAGUUUGUCUGAUCACUACAUACAUAUGAGGUACACGUGAUAUAGAUUUAUGUCUGUAAGUUUGUCUGAUCACUACAUACAUACGAGGUACACAUGAUAUAGAUUUAUGUCUGUAAGUUUGUCUGAUCACUACAUACAUACGAGGCACACGUGAUAUAGAUUUAUGUCUGUAAGUUUGUCUGAUCACUACAUACAUACGAGGUACACAUGAUAUAGAUUUAUGUCUGUAAGUUUGUCUGAUCACUACAGACAUACGAGGUACAUGUGAUAUAGAUUUAUGUCUGUAAGUUUGUGUGAUCACUACAUACAUACGAGGUACAUGUGAUAUAGAUUUAGGUCUGUAAGUUUGUCUGAUCACUACAUACAUACGAGGUACAGGUGAUAUAGAUUUAUGUCUGUAAGUUUGUCUGAUCACUACAUACAUACGAAGUACAGGUGAUAUAGAUUUAUAUCUGUAAGUUUGUCUGAUCACUACAGACAUACGAGGUACACGUGAUAUAGAUUUAUAUCUGUAAGUUUGUCUGAUCACUACAGACAUACGAGGUACACGUGAUAUAGAUUUAUAUCUGUAAGUUUGUCUGAUCACUACAUACAUAUGAGGUACACGUGAUAUAGAUUUAUAUCUGUAAGUUUGUCUGAUCACUACAUACAUAUGAGGUACACGUGAUAUAGAUUUAUGUCUGUAAGUUUGUCUGAUCAUUACAUACAUACGAGGCACACAUGAUAUAGAUUUGUCUGUAAGUUUGUCUGAUCACUACAUACAUACGAGGUACAUGUGAUAUAGAUUUAUAUCUGUAAGUUUGUCUGAUCACUACAUACAUACGAGGUACACGUGAUAUAGAUUUAGGUCUGUAAGUUUGUCUGAUCACUACAUACAUACGAGGUACAGGUGAUAUAGAUUUAUGUCUGUAAGUUUGUCUGAUCACUACAGACAUACAAGGUACAGGUGAUAUAGAUUUAUGUCUGUAAGUUUGUCUGAUCACUACAUACAUACGAGGUACAGGUGAUAUAGAUUUAUGUCUGUAAGUUUGUCUGAUCACUACAUACAUACGAGGUACAGGUGAUAUAGAUUUAUGUCUAAGUUUGUCUGAUCACUACAGACAUACGAGGUACACGUGAUAUAGAUUUAUGUCUGUAAGUUUGUCUGAUCACUACAUACAUAUGAGGUACACUUUAUAGAUUUAUGUCUAAGUUUGUCUGAUCAGUACAUACAUACGAGGCACACGUGAUAUAGAUUUAUGUCUAAGUUUGUCUUAUCACUACUUACAUACGAGGCACACGUGAUAUAGAUUUAUGUCUAAGUUUGUCUGAUCACUACAUACAUACGAGGUACAGGUGAUAUAGAUUUAUGUCUGUAAGUUUGUCUGAUCACUACAGACAUAUGAGGCACAUGUGAUAUAGAUUUAUGUCUGUAAGUUUGUCUGAUCACUACAGACAUAUGAGGUACAGGUGAUAUAGGUUUGUCUGUAAGUUUGUCUGAUCACUACAUACAUACGAGGUACACAUGAUAUAGAUUUAUGUCUGUAAGUUUGUCUGAUCACUACAUACAUACGAGGUACACGUGAUAUAGAUUUAUAUCUGUAAGUUUGUCUGAUCACUACAUACAUACGAGGUACAGGUGAUAUAUAUUUAUAUCUGUAAGUUUGUCUGAUCACUACAUACAUAUGAAGUACACGUGAUAUAGAUUUAUGUCUAAGUUUGUCUGAUCACUACAUACAUACGAGGUACAGGUGAUAUAGAUUUAUGUCUGUAAGUUUGUCUGAUCACUACAUACAUACGAGGUACAGGUGAUAUAGAUUUAUGUCUGUAAGUUUGUCUGAUCACUACAUACAUACGAGGUACAGGUGAUAUAGAUUUAUGUCUGUAAGUUUGUCUGAUCACUACAGACAUACGAGGUACACGUGAUAUAGAUUUAUAUCUGUAAGUUUGUCUGAUCACUACAGACAUACGAGGCACAUGUGAUAUAGAUUUAUGUCUGUAAGUUUGUCUGAUCACUACAUACAUACGAGGUACAGGUGAUAUAGAUUUAUGUCUGUAAGUUUGUCUGAUCACUACAGACAUACGAGGUACACGUGAUAUAGAUUUAUAUCUGUAAGUUUGUCUGAUCACUACAGACAUACGAGGCACAUGUGAUAUAGAUUUAUAUCUGUAAGUUUGUCUGAUCACUACAUACAUACGAGGUACACGUGAUAUAGAUUUAUAUCUGUAAGUUUGUCUGAUCACUACAUACAUACGAGGUACACAUGAUAUAGAUUUAUGUCUGUACUUUUGCCUGAUGCGCUGCAGUUUUUGUAAUAAAAUUGUUUGCACCUUUAAGUGAUCAUCACACAAUAUCUUACGAGGGGCAGAGAGUCGUUCUUGGUCUUUACAGUGCUCAUUUUGGGGUAGGGCAUUGGCGUUUUUUGUUGUAAUGUAAAGAUAUCUAAUGACCAUGUUUUGUUAUUGUUUACGUGCCCCCCCCUUUUAUAUAUUUCAGUCUCUGUUCAGUUUGUCUUUAUCCUGAUGACAUACACCAGCCCUCCCCAGUAGACAAUGCCAGCUUUCUGUUUUCGUUGGUUUUAAUGUUUUCUUGUGUCUUCCUCAGCCGUACCCUAUGUAUCCAGCUACCACGUCUCUAGUGAACGUUGUGCCCAAGCUGAAUGCCACGGGACGGGAUUUGCUGCAGAACUUACUGAAGUGUAACCCAGUUCAGAGGAUUUCUGCUGAUGAAGCUCUACAACAUCCGUACUUUGCAGAUUUCUGCCCCCCAUAAUGCACCUACCUCUUGAUGCUGAAUUCCCCCCCUGUACACGUCAUGCCUGGCCCCUGCUGUGUCCUGGUCUUACGGGCUGAAUAUUCCUACUGGGCAAGGUCUAGUGACAUUCCUACAGUCAGUAUUUGUGAGCAGCUCCUGUACAGUUAUAGAUGACCAUUAUCACCCCUGCUAGUUAUCCGAGUCGUGAUAACGCUUUACUGCCGGUGAUGAUCCAUGAACAAGUUUAAAGCAGCAUUCUCCAGACAUUGACGUUGUGUGCAAUUCAGGCUUUUCCAGUGGUGAUUUUAUUCAGCCUUUCAGCAAGAUCUACCUACCCCAAAAGCUUUCUAUCCCCGCCCACCAUCCCACAGGUGAUGAAACGGUGCUCAGGGGAACUUUUCUUCCCGUUUCCCUUCUGUCAUUUUUAUUUAUUUUUGAGCUGUUGUCUCUCCCAGUUCUCCUCAGACCCCUGCUCCCUUGUAUUUACCACUUGUAUAUUUUAAUGUACAUUUUUGAAUGGUUUAUAUGCAUUUUGUUUCUUUUACCCUGUAAAUUUAUGGCCUAUUUGUUGAGAAAUGCAGAUUAUUUUACAGACACCUCCA